rnacentral:SRP_RNA from 15 species
AGAUCGGCGCGGACGGAGUCCUCGCCAACCUGGUCAGGGCCGAGAGGCAGCAGCCACAACGAGAUCACCUCUGGGUCGUCUGCCGGUCUCCAC